rnacentral:snoRNA from 1 species
GGGUCAUGUGGACAACCUUGGCCCUUGUCUGGGAAAAAAAAAAAAAAAAAAAAAAAAAAAAAA